rnacentral:rRNA from 1 species
AUGAUUGCAAAAUGCCUUAAAUGGACAGGAGAUAUAGUUUGCCCUACAAUCAACAAAAAACUAAACAAAUACAUUGAAUAUUCUGCCCAAUGUGAACUUGUAUGCAAUGGUCAAGAUAUAUUUGAAGUUACACAGAACAAAAAUCACAGGUUUACUGUGGAUUUGAAUAGACUGAAUUGCACAUGUGGGUACUGGCAGCUUGCUGGGUUACCUUGUGUACAUGCCAUUUCAGCAAUCCACACAAAAACAAGUGAUUUGUCUCCUUACAUAGCUAGUUGCUUCUAUGUGGCUGCUUUCAAGAAAACAUAUGCCUACUGCCUGCAACCUGUCGAUGGAAUGGCUAGCUGGCCCAUAUCUCCAAGGCCAAGACCUGUAGCUCCAGGAUAUGUGAAAAUGCCUGGUAGGCCUAAGACUCAGAGGAACAAAGAGAAGGGUGAGAAGAAAGUUUCCAAAACAAAGUUACCAAAGACAGGCACGGUGAUCAGAUGUUCGAAGUGCAAAGGGACGGGGCACAAUAAAACAACUUGUCAUAUAAAAGAAAGCAGCCAACCAGCUCAAACUGUGAGGCUGGUUAGUAAAAAAUCUCUUCACUUUAUAUGUAUGUACUUAUUUUUCUUCAGUUUCUAUCUGUACAUAUUUUUAACUUGUGAUCUCUUCUAA